AACGAACGCUGGCGGCAUGCCUAACACAUGCAAGUCGAACGAGACCUUCGGGUCUAGUGGCGCACGGGUGCGUAACGCGUGGGAACCUGCCCUUAGGUUCGGAAUAACUCCCCGAAAGGGGUGCUAAUACCGGAUAAUGUCUUCGGACCAAAGAUUUAUCGCCUUUGGAUGGGCCCGCGUUGGAUUAGCUAGUUGGUAGGGUAAAAGCCUACCAAGGCGACGAUCCAUAGCUGGUCUGAGAGGAUGAUCAGCCACACUGGGACUGAGACACGGCCCAGACUCCUACGGGAGGCAGCAGUGGGGAAUAGUGGACAAUGGGCGAAAGCCUGAUCCAGCAAUGCCGCGUGAGUGAUGAAGGCCCUAGGGUUGUAAAGCUCUUUUACCCGGGAUGAUAAUGACAGUACCGGGAGAAUAAGCUCCGGCUAACUCCGUG
rnacentral:rRNA from 1 species